GCAAGUCGAGCGGAAACGAUGUAGCUUGCUACAGGCGUCGAGCGGCGGACGGGUGAGUAACGCGUAGGAAUCUUCCUAGUAGCGGGGGACAACAUGUGGAAACGCAUGCUAAUACCGCCUAAGCACUACGGGGGAAAGGAGGGGAUCUUCGAACCUUUCGCUAUUAGAUGAGCAUGCGUGAGAUUAGCUUGUUGGUGAGGUAAAGGCUCACCAAGGCGACGAUCGCUAGCUGGUCUGAGAGGAUGACC
rnacentral:rRNA from 1 species